rnacentral:rRNA from 1 species
AGUGAACGCUGGCGGUAGGCCUAACACAUGCAAGUCGAACGGCAGCACAGUAAGAGCUUGCUCUUACGGGUGGCGAGUGGCGGACGGGUGAGGAAUACAUCGGAAUCUACUUUUUCGUGGGGGAUAACGUAGGGAAACUUACGCUAAUACCGCAUACGACCUACGGGUGAAAGCAGGGGAUCUUCGGACCUUGCGCGAUUGAAUGAGCCGAUGUCGGAUUAGCUAGUUGGCGGGGUAAAGGCCCACCAAGGCGACGAUCCGUAGCUGGUCUGAGAGGAUGAUCAGCCACACUGGAACUGAGACACGGUCCAGACUCCUACGGGAGGCAGCAGUGGGGAAUAUUGGACAAUGGGCGAAAGCCUGAUCCAGCCAUCCCGCGUGGGUGAAGAAGGCCUUCGGGUUGUAAAGCCCUUUUGUUGGGAAAGAAAAGCAGCAGGUUAAUACCCCGCUGUUCUGACGGUACCAAAAGAAUAAGCACCGGCUAACUUCGU